UCAGCCAUAGUGAAGGACCAGCCCUAGGAGUCUGCGAGAGCCUCCUUGGUUCCAUCGUGAAGCCAUAAACAGGAAUGCCUUUGGCAAUAGCCUUGAGCCUAGAGGGCCCUCUGAUGCCCCACUGAGGUGCUGUUGGUUUAUUGCUGGCAACGUGAAUUCUCUCAGGGGUCUAGGAGGGGCAUUUUGGAGACUGCCUGACACCACCCCUAUCCCCUGCCUCCCCCUCUCAGAAGAGGGUGGAAGAUGAAAUGAAAGCUAUGGGACUCUUGGAGGAUACCCAGUGUCUAUUCUGGGUUAGAGAAGUGCUUACUAAGGGGUUUUCUAAUAAAAACAAAUGCCACAUUG
rnacentral:lncRNA from 1 species